CAUACCUCGGGACUUGCUUAAUCGCAUCAAGGAGCGGGAUAUUGACUUGAACUUUCCGAAAGGUCUCUAGAAUAUCCUUCUCGGCUUCUUCCUUCUUUGAUUGCCUAAACCUGCCAGGAAAGGGCACAUUUAGUGGAAUAGAACUAGAAAGAGUCGAAUUGGGACUUACCUUGGUGGUUGGGGACGGUUUAGGAGGGUUAGAGGGUGGCGGCAAGGAUUGGUC
rnacentral:lncRNA from 1 species